GUGACAGGAGACAGAGGCUGAUAGGAGGCGGGGACACCAGUGGCAAGAGAGUAAGCACAGGUUAGGGAACCAGUACCGGAGGGGAAUAAGGGCAGGGAAGAGAGAAUGCGCACUAACUUCAUCCUGAUCUCUUUCUGCUUCUUCUCCUUUGCUUUCACAAAGGCCGUGGGGUCGAAACGGGUCACACGACCACCUAUGACAGUGUGGGCAAGUGGAGAGAGGAGGCUGAAUCAGGCUCUCACAACGGCAGAGUGCCAACAACUGUGGAAAGGAAUGGAUGAGGAGGACCUGUCUUCUGCCCCCAGGUGGUCACCAGGAUACAUUGUAAAUCAGCACAGAAGACUGGGUUCUGCAAGUCCCUUUUUAUAAAAGAACGUAAUUAUAAAUUACAGGUAUGUUCAUAUUUUCAGAAUAGAAUAACUAAAAAGCUUUAAAAUGGGGAAGGACUGACUGGAGAUGUAGCCGUGAUAAAAGUACUUACCUAGCAAGUGUGGGGCCCUGGGUUCAAUCCCCAGCACCAUAAAAAAAAAGCAGGGGGAGGAGGACUGAUUACCCGUGGAAAAAGGAGGAAGAACAGGGAUAGAAACUGGACCUCUCUGAAUGGAAACCCCUUUUUCACUCUGACUCUAGAACUAUGAAAAUAUUGUAUAUAAAGAGUUACAAGCUCUGUUACCCAAGCUGGCCUCAAACUCCUGGGUCAUUUCAACAUGAAGGGUUCCUACUGGCCAAAGACAAGACAUUAUCUACAUCACAAAGAAUAAAUGCAAGGCUGAGGUUGUGGCUCAGUGGUUGUGGCUCACUUGCCUAGCAUGUGUGAGGCAUUGGGUUCGAUUCUCAGCACCGCAUAUAAAUAAAUGAAUAAAAUAAAGGUCUAUCAACAUCUAAAAAAACAUUUAAAAAAAGAAUGAAUGCAAUUAAUGAAUCUGUGGCAGGCUAAAUAGUGCCCCCCUCCCUGAGGAAAAAGAGAUAUCCCCGUCCUUUUCCCUGGAAUCUGUGACUCUUAGCUGAUAUGGCAACAAGGCACUUAUGGGUCUGAUAAAUUAAGGAUCUUGAGAUGAGAUUUUCCUGGCUUAUCAGGGUGGGCCCUAAAUGUAAUCCCAAGUAUCCCGAUUCAGAAUCAGAGAAACUAGACACAGAAGAGGAAAGGACAGUGUGACCACAGGCAGAGACUGGAGUGAGGUGGUCAUAAGCCAAAGAAUGUCAGCAGACACCAGAAGCUGGAAGAGGCAACAGAGUCCCCCAGCGUCUCUGGAGGGAGCCCAGCCCUGCCGAUGUCUUGACCUCAGUCCAGUGAAAGUGGUUUCAGAACUCUGGCCUCCAGAACUGGAAGACAACAAAUUUCGGUGUUUUAAAGCCACCAAUUUUGUGGAACUUUGUCACAGAAGCCAUAGGAAACCAACACAAGAUCAAUUAAGUUGAAGUUCACAGAGUUUAUAAUGAUACAAGAACAAAAGUCACUGAUCUCCAUGGUGAAUGAGAAGGAACCAAUACAUUAUUCUGAUGAAAGUUAAAUAAAAGAAAGAGUUAAGCAUUAA